AAAAAAGCCCACACCAUCAUCAUCUCUUCUUCUCGUCUCUAUCGUCUCUCCUCUCUUCUUCAUCUUCUUCCCUUCUUUUAUUUUUCUGAACAAAUUUUCUCCAAAUGUUCAUUAAUGGAGAAAACGUUUAUACAUACUCACCCAAAAGGAAGCCGAUUGUAACCUUUAAAACGCGGCCCCUUCAUUUCCUAAUGGGCUCCUCACGCCGGCAUCAAUAACCUGACCGCCGGUGAAUUCCUCCACUAAUACUCCUCACACAAUUAAUCACCAACAAUAAUAAAUAAUAAAUACAUUUAUGUAAUUUUCUCGAACAGAUAGAAUAUUUUUAUGACAAAUUAAUUAAUAAUUAGUAACGGUUAAAAGAGAAGGAAAUCUCUGUGCAAGAAAUAGAAGAGCAGAUUUAUUUCAUUUUCGUCACACAAUUAUCACCAUUUUCCGGUAAGCUACUGCCGCCAAUUCCUCCAUCUUCAAUCCCACACUACACGCUCAGAGAUUUCAGUAAUUUCUUCGAAACAGGAACCGCCCAUUUUGGUAAUUGGAGUUUGUAUGACGAGCGCAUCGGAGCUGUUCUACAGCCGGAGGUCUCGAUUCGGUCGGAAUUCGGAUCCUUUCGGUGUCGGGGCGGAUUUGGAUUCUCCUCCGCCUCCCGAUCGGACCAAUCGCCGCACUCGCCAUUUCAACAGUCCCGGCGGCAGUCACGCUCGCCGCGAUUGGCUCGAGCCCGACGGAUGCGAUCCUUUCCGACGGUCGAUUCACCAGCUCAGGCAAACCCCACACCGCCGUCCUUCACAUCCACCUCAAGUGAGAAUCCUAUAUUCGGAUGUUGAAGGUGAAAUCCCUGCUGCAAAUUCACCCCAAUUUCAUCAAAUUCAUAAAUCUUGAAAACUUAUAUUCGGAAGUUGAAGGUGGAAAGUGGGUUUCAACUAAGGAAGCAUUUCUUGUCCAGUUGAGAAUACCUAUUAUUUCUUUGCCAGGUUACUGACUUUAGGAAGACGAUGAUAAUUUCCCUUUUCUCUUUUUUUUUUGUUUAUUUAUUUUUAAUGAUUUAUUUAUAUUUAAUAUAUAGCAGUUAAGUGGAUUGACGAAUUUACCCCC